AACUACAUAACAAACAAGAGAUGAUUGAAAUUUCAUCGAAAUAUUUGUCUUCUAUCUCACCCCAAAAGAUAAAAUAUUGUCUCAUAAAGAUAAUAAUGAGUAACAAUAAAUUUUAUGAACAUAUAAGAAUGAAGGUGAUAAUUAUCAUAUUGAUUAUGAAUUUUUAAUAGUUUUGAAACUAGAUUGUGAAAGUGUUUUUCCUUUUGUUCAUAUUUUUUUAAUGUUCCUCUUUGAAGGAUCAUAUUAAAAAUAUUUUAAAUUAUUUCUAUUAUAUUGUGAUCAUGUUAAAAUACGAACUCUAUUACUAACCAAUACAUAAAAAAGAUUUUUAAUAUGUCUUAUGACACUCGUUAUAAU
rnacentral:lncRNA from 1 species